UACGAAGGGGGCUAGCGUUGUUCGGAAUCACUGGGCGUAAAGCGCACGUAGCGGAUGUGCCAGUCAGGGGUGAAAUCCCGGAGCUCAACUCCAGAACUGCCUUCGAUACUGGCGAUCUAGAGUCCGGAAGAGGUGAGUGGAACUCCUAGUGUAGGGGUGGAAUUCGUAGAUAUGGGGAGGAACACCGGUGGCGAAGGCGGCCACCUGGACGGCAACUGACGCUGAGACGCGAAAGCGUGGGGAGCAACAGG
rnacentral:rRNA from 1 species